GCUGGGCAUGGUGGUGCAUGCCUAUAGUCUCAGCUACUGGGGAGGCUGAGGUGGGAGGAUUGCUUGAGUCCAGAAGGUUGAGGCUGCAGUGAGCUGUGAUCAUGCCACUGCACUCCAGCCUGAGCAACAUAGCAAGAUUCCAUCUCCA
ensembl:misc_RNA Metazoa_SRP Metazoan signal recognition particle RNA